rnacentral:rRNA from 1 species
CCCGCAAGUAAAGUGGCGUACGGGUGAGUAACACGUGGGUGAUCUACCCUUUAGUGGGGAAUAACGCUGGGAAACCGGCGCUAAUACCGCAUAAUCUCGAGAGAGGAAAGCAGCAAUGCGCUGAAGGAGGAGCCCGCGGCCGAUUAGCUAGUUGGGAGGGUAAAAGCCUACCAAGGCAAAGAUCGGUAGCCGGCCUGAGAGGGCACACGGCCACACUGGCACUGAAACACGGGCCAG